CUAGAUUCACAAUAUUUUAAUAACACAGUAAGUUCAGCUCCUAAUGCAGAAGUGUUUCUCUACAAUCUUACCCUCACAAACAGGAAUGGCAGUUUCUUUCAGUUUUUCCGCUCCCUUUGGCCUAAAACACUGUGUUCGUGGUCAUUCAGUUUGAAAUGUUCACUGUAAACACGAGGCUUCUGAAAGAUUAACCAUCGUGCCGUUCUCUCCGUAUUUACUUUUUUUGCAGCCUUUAGCCACUGCCUUCAACACACUAGAUCCUUCACUGGAAACCUAAAUUACCUCACUUCUGCUAAACAUUUACACUUUGAAUUCUUCCCAGGAACAAUACAAGUUGACACCAUUAUGGCUAAAAGUUUGCUAAGGAGUAUUUCUUACUAAAGCAAAGUGUUAUUUGACUCUGACGGCAACAUGCCCAGUGCAUUAUGGGUGUUGAAGUUUUCCUAUUUGCCAAAAAGGAAGAAAACAGCCUUUUUUCUAGGUUUUCUCUAGUCAGAUAUCACUGAUUUAAUUUGUACAGGAGCUCUCAUUUUGAACUCUCAUUUCACAAAUAAUUUUAACUUUUGUUUUCUGUCUCUUUUUGUAUGAUGAGGGAUCAAAAAGUUAAUAAUUUACUAAGUCAAAAAAAGGACUCUUUUAUACCAGACCACUUUGUGUUGUGCAGAAAGAUAUAUUGUUUAAAAUACAAAAUACAGUGAUAACCUACUUUAUCAUGCAGUUCACUUUCAGUUUCAUCAUGAGUAUUUUUCACAAAUGGAAGUUUUGGGACCUGCUUUAUAAUAUGUAUAACAUUUAUGCUGCAUUAUCAUAAAUACGAGUUUCCUAGGUAAAAAUUGCACAUGAACGCCCUCCAAUUUCGAAAGUUGAAUGCAAUGAGCUUGUAAACACAACUUCGGAAGUGGGUAUUAUCAAAUUUCCGAUAGCACGUGAAGGCAGCAUUAAAUUCAAGUCAAUAAAAUGUAACUGAAAAGGACAUUAAGAUGAACAACAAUAUUAUCAAAAAUAAUAACUUGCCUUCACUUUGUGCACAACUAAAACAACCAAAAGACAAAGCCAAGAAUGUUUACAGAAAUUCUCAUUUUGAGUUCACAUCACAAGUAGCUUUUCUGUCAUUUGGACAAACCAAAGGAUAUGUUACCUUAGACAAAUCAAACUUCUUAAGUCACAUUUAUGUAACAUAUAAACAUGAAGCAAAAAGAAAGUUCCAAAAUAUUUUAUGUGUUCACUACUGUGCUUUACAGGGAAACCUGUUAGAUAUUUUUUUUCACUGACUAGUGUUAUUUACAUUUAAAGAAGAAAAUUAUUAGAUGAAUUAGAUUAAUCUGUCCCUUAGGACAGUGUAAAGAAAAAAACAAACUACAGAAAUGAGUGAGAUGAAAGACGUUUUAAAAUAUUCACAUAUUUCAAUCUUUCAAACAUUGCAAAAUAUAUAAAUCGGACUGCAUUGAGGAAGACAAAAAGUUCGACCCUUAAAGUAUCCGAACAUGGUUAAAACUGAAAGACUAAAACUGUUGUUGUCUCCUAGAUGACCUAGAUCAGGGGUUCCCAAACACAUUCCUGGAGCCUACUCAACACUGUACAUUUUGCAUGUAUCCUUUGUCUCACACACCCAUUUCAGGUCUUGGAGUCUCGACUAAUGAGCUGAUGAUCUGAAUCAGGUAUGUUUGAUUAAGGAAACAUGGAAAACAUGCAGUGUUGGGGAGGCUCCAGGAAUGUGUUUGGGAACCCCUGAUCUAGAUGAUCCUCCAUAUGUUUACCAAAAGUCUUUAACUUUAUACAUAAUGUUUGUCGUGGUAGCUGAGUUUUGGCACAUUCAAUGAACAGGGUCAACAUUUUUGAAAAUAGAGUUUUAUAUAUUUGACUGACCUAGUUUUCCUGAGUUGUCUGAUUUGUCAUUAUAUUCACCUGUGUCUUGUUAAUUAACUCUUUAAUUCCUUUUGUUCAUGUGUAGAGUGUAGAGGAGGGGGAAGAGGGGAAAGAACAACCAAUAAAACACUCAUUAUACAGAAUAAUGAUUAUUAAUAUAUGAGAACGGAGAAAAAUGACAAACUCCCAAGCACAAGGGAGAAAUGUGCAUAAGGGCUAAUAAUACUUUGAUAACGUUUUGUGACAUUUGAAUUCUCCGCUGUAAUGCGAUCUCAUGCGAACAUAUUUUUCAUUUGUGCUGGUAGAUUACAGCAAAACAAUCCACAUGCACCCAAACUUCUGCUCUGGUCGCAGGAAAACGCUUUUUUGUGUUGUAGUACUGAGGAAACAAGCACCUACGACCCAUGUCUCUGAAUGACAACAGAGACAGAGGCAAGAGAAGUGAUACUUCCUCAUGCAUAAUACCGCAAUUAUAAUCUUAUAUACUACAGCGCAGUGAUUGGAUUGAAUGAGCUUUAUGUUAUGAAUAAAUGCAGAGAACUGCUCGAAACUGUUGACGUCGGCAUGUUCGACCUGCCCAUACUGGAGCCAAUCAGCACUCCUGAUCUUGCUGGUAGUACACGAUGACGUCUGAUUUUGUGACGUUGCUCCGACUUUGCUUUUUAAACUGGAAGACAGAAAUCGCUCUGAAAAAUGCAAAACUAACUAAUUUCAACUUUUAAAUAAAAUUAAUGAGUACCUUUAGUGUUUUCAAUGAUGUGCAGCCUAUACAUAUCUGUUCACAUCUCAAAAAAUGUGUUCUGGGGUUUCAUGACCCUUUAAGCCUUCAGUUCUCUCUUAGUGUUUAUUGGUAUAUGUCAGUGGUGUAGUCUACGUGAUACGCAGGUAUACGCCGUAUACCCACUAGGAAUGUUCAAGGAUUUCCGUAUACCCACUUAAAAAAGCACGAGGAUACCUAACCAUCCAAUAAAUCACAAUAUGAUUUGUGGUUUGUUGCUUUUGACAUGAAACAAAGUCUCAUAUUUCUCAAAGUCUCAAGUUUCAUAUUUUGCCCAUUUUACUUCGGAAUAAAAAAAAAACAUAAAUACCGUUUUGGCGCUCUUUAAUGUGAUCGUGACAGAUCGCAGCAGUUCAAGAGAAGCAGCAGCCUGACGCCGCACGUGAACUGAUCCUCUCCUCCGCUUUAAGUUACCAGUUAUAGCGCGAAAUAAACAUGAAUGAACAUCUCAAGGUAUGAUAAAAGAUACACUACAACUUAACGAAAUCCAUAUCAUGUCUCGUAUAAUCGCUUAAUCAGUGUUUCAACCGCGGAAAGACGUUAAUAACAGCUUGUAAACAAUGUCACGUAACGUCACAUUUACCUCAGAACAAACAUAUUCAGUGACCAUAAACUCGUUAGUCAGCUAGAAAAAUGAACUCUAGAGAGGAGCAUUUAUCUAAAUAUAUGCACCAUGCAGCUUCUGAUGCCCAUGUGUGCAUAAACACCACUGAUCCUCACAAACUUCUCCAAAACACGCUUGUUCGGAGCAUCAGUGUAAAACACUCACAGUACAUUAAUUUUGACAAAUACGUGAAUAUAUUUGUGUUCAUGUAACACAAUGUGUUUUUAUUUUAUUUUAUUUAACAUAUUAAUAAUAAAAUUAAUAAAUUAUAUUAAUAUAUUUAAAUUAAUUUUAAGUUAUUUCACGGCCCACCAGGUUGAGAACCACUGCUCUGAAGGUAGUUUGAGAAGUGCAUAUAAUAUAACAUAGGUUAUAGCCUAUGUUCAACUCAUUAAAAUCUAAAUGAAACAGACAUUUAAAUAAAUAACAACAGCAAUCACUUGCCUUGACAUUGGCCACAGUUAAAGAAAAAAAAAAAAACUAAAACUAAACAAAAGACGAAGCCAAGGAGUUUUACAGGAACUCUCAUUUUGAGCUCAAUUUUCAAGUUACUUUUUUUUUUUUGGUCUGUCUCUGAUACUCUUGCAUGCUUGGUGAUCAACAAGUUAAUCAUUUACCAAAGUCAAAUAGUGUUUUUUUUUUUUUUUUUUUUUUUUUUUUUUUA